CCCUUCUUCCUUCCCUCCCUCCCUCACUGCACCAUCUGUCAUUCUCGCUCUCUUCCGGCCUCUGCUUCCAGGCGCUGUCCCCAUUCCCCCUUCCUCCCCAUCAUCACCAUCAUGCUGGACAUAUUCAUUCUCAUGUUUUUUGCCAUUAUAGGCCUGGUGGUCUUAUCCUACAUCAUCUACAUGUUGUAGCAUCUCCAGCCACACCACUGCCGGCACCCUAUGGAAGACAGCUAAGCAAGGAGAAAGGUUUUCCCCCCCGCCGUUUGACGCAGCACAGUGUUGAAGGUUGGGAUUCCCAAGACUCCUUGUUGGCAGACUAACCGAAAUGGGAGACCCCACCCUGGUUUAGAGUCAUGUUUGCAUCUCAGCAGCAUAGUGCCACAGACCGACUGCAGAUCAUUCUAGAGAAAGGUUAACCCUUUGUAAAGAGAAGAAUGAUUCAGCAGGAUGCCUUGAAGUAGCAGCUCAUGCUUUCAAAAGACCUGAACUGGGAAUGCAUUAGAAGAAUGGACAAGGACAGAUGAAAAUACCUGCAAUAGAACAAGAUGGAUCUAAGUGGUGAGGGGAAACGAUUGCCUCUGCUGUCCUGGGGUGCAAACAAGUUUGAUUUUUCUUUAUGUCUUAGAUACACAACUGCUGAGUGGAGAAAAUAUUUCCCCCCGGCUAUUUUUAAGUUUGAGAUAAUAGAACAUUGGUAAAGGCCCAAUGGAAGAGAGAAAAGAAACAGACUGAUAACCAACUGUACCUUUCUUAAUGUUUGCCACUCUGAAGUAUCAGCACAGAGAGUGUUGUUUGGUUGUAGUAGGUUCUGGAAAAGCUUGCUGGGAAGUAAAUGGGGGCAGUGGGAACUCAUUGGUGUAUUCGAAAUCCCAUACCUUUUCCAGUGUAAAUUUGUGUAUUAAACACUGUGCAUCUUUGUGCUCUUUCUGCU